CAUUGUCUCAUAGUGAAUUCAUAUUCCUGAUUGUAACUUAGCAUUUGUUGUUAUCUGGUAUCUGUACUAGUUUUAUUUUUUCUGAUUCUGUAAGGAAUCACAUCUUGCUGUGUGAUAUAGUUUCUCCAAAUGCAUCCUAACAUAAGCCUGGCAUUGGUAGUUUUGAAGAAAAUUUCUAUUAUUUGUAGAUUGGCUAGAUUUCAUUAGCAUUAAACAAAAGUAUUUAUGUAAUUCUCAAAAAAAAAAAAAGAAAAAAGUAUUUAUGCAUUUCUUUUCUUUUUACUUCAUGGGGCAUUUCAUCUCACUUCAGCAGUUAGUCACCUGUGGUGUGCGGUCAAAUCUUUAUUUUCUACUGCCCUUUCUUAAUACAGAAAUUGUCAAAUUCUUGUCUGCAGUAUUUGAAUUCAAAGACAGCUGUUGGUCUAGAACUGAUUUGUGAAUUGCCUGUAAGAAACUCUGAGUAUUGGCUGAUAAUCCCUACCUUAUGUAAGAACUUUGAAGUUGUUAGCAUUUAUUCUUUCAUCAUUUAAAUUCAGAAGCAUUGAUCAACUUGACUGAUGGAGGUUGAAGAUUUUAAAAAUAAAGUUAAUAUAUGGUUGGAAGCACAAUUGACUAUGCCAUUUCUGUUAUAGUAGUUACUGAUGUAAUGUUGGUCACCGUCGCACAUUUGUGCAUUAUUUAAGUUUCACCUGUCACAUAAGAUGUUCUAUUUGGCACUUUUCAAACUUGUAUUGCAUAGCCACUCACUGAAAUAUCCUUUUCAUUUUUAUCGUUUUAAAACUUUCUCCAAGGAGAUAAAGAGGGCAUUUGUGGAUCUAUAAUGAAAGGGCGGACAAUGAAAAGGUGGAAGAUAAAGAGGGCAUUUGUGAAUCUAUAAUCAGUUUCUAUUAUGAUCUAUGAGCUUAUUGGUUCAUGGGUGGAACAGGCUGAGAUUAGAUGAUCUCCCUUUUGAUCAAAUUGAAGUGUUGGAACUUUGGAAGCUGCUUGGUAGGAGAGGACUUUGAGGAAGUCUUUGAAGCAAGUACUAGCCUUGGCCAAGAUAGGGCCCCCAGUCCAGAUGGUUUCCCCAUGGUGGUCUUCUUGACAUAUUGGGAGGUGCUAAAGGUUGACCCAAUGGCGUAUGUGGUGGAAUUUCAGGAGCGCGGAAGAUUAUCCAAGGACUUGGGAGAGUUUCAUUGUGGUAAUCGUAAUCCCCCCAAAAAGAAGGUAUUGAGAGUGUAAAGGACUUCCAUCCUAUAGGUCUGAUAGGGGGUCCCUAGAAAAUCCUAGCUGAAGUUUUCGCUUCCAAGAUUAACAAAGUUCCAAGCAACAUCAUUUCCGAAUCACAAGGGACUUUUGUGUAUGGGAGGCAAAUUCUGGAUGGAGCUUUGAUUGCUCAUGAAUGUAUUGACUCGUAAUACAAAGAAGGGAAGUCGGGUAUAAUUUGCAAAUGGACUUGAGGAGGAGCCUAUGAUCAUGUGGAUUGGAGUUUCCGUUGUUAUUUGAUGGCCGAAUGGGAUUCAGUCCAAGGUGGUGCAAUGGAUCUGGGAGUGCAUUAGCACAACUCACUUCUCGGUUUUGGUGAAUGGUUCACCCAAAGGUUUCUUCAGAAAUUUGAGAGGUUGGGUCAAGUUGAUAAUUUAAGAAAAGUUGUCCAAUGCUUUGCGGUGUCUGGGCUGAAAAUUAACUUUUAUAAAAGCGAGCUGCUCAGCGUUGAAUAAAUGAGGAAAAGGUGAGGUCUGCCUUGGAAUCAGAUGCAAAUUGGGCAGUCUCCCUUCGACUUAGGCAUCCCUCUCUGCAUUUGGCAAGGCAACCAAGCAUUUAUGGGAUGCGGCAUUGAAAAGAAUGGAGCAAAAAUUGUCUCGGUGGAAAAGUAGGUAUUUGUUUAUGCUCAUUAAACCUGCUCUCGCUAGCAUGCCAAUUUAUUUAUGUCAAUGUUUCAGUGCCCGAUGAGUAUAAUAGUUAAAAUAGAAAAGAUCGAGAGGGACAUUUUAUGGCAAUCUCAGAGUCCAAGAGCAAGUUUCAUCUAGUCAGCUUGUAUGAAGAGUGCAAGCCUAAAGAGGAUGGCAGGUUGGGUAUAAGAAAUUUGAAGUCGCUGAAUUCUGCUCUCUCAUGCAAUGGCUUUGGAGGUUUGGGGAAGAGGAAGGGUGAUUAUGGAAUAGUGAUGUUUGUAGUAAAUAUGGGGGCUUUAUACCUGGGGAGGGAACUCAAGUUCGGUUCUAGAUUGACUGAUAGUGUGGGGAUCAACCUCUUCCAUUAUCUUUGCUGAGGCUUUUCACGGCUACUUAUGUGUGUGUGUGUGUGUGUGUGAGAGAGAGAGAGAGAGAGAGAGAGAGAGAGAGAGAGAUCUUGUGUAGUUGGAUCGGGAUUUGAGAAUGUGGAAUGCAGGUGUGUCUCGUUCUACUUGGCCAUAGUAGGAAGGAGUCCUGAGCUCCCCGUAAACCUCAUUUCCUGCAUUUAGAAGUACAAAUGCCCCCUUGGGUCCUCGCGUUCUCUUGUUUGGUGAGUGAAAUGAAGUUUCUAACCAUUGACAACCUUAGGAAGAGGGGGUUGCGUGCUACAAAUGGGUGCAUCAUGUGCUUGAAGGGCGGAAUCAGUGGGUCAUCUGCUCUUUCACUGCCCCUUUGCAUCUGAUAUAUGGGAAAGUUUCUCUCUUUUUGAGAUAUUGUGGACAAUGCCAUAAAUGUGGGAGAGCUUAUGGAAGCCUGGGAUGGGGGCAGAAAGGGAAGCAAAAGAAUAUUGGAAGUUUGGCAUAUGGCUUUGGUAGCUAUCCUGUGGAGGUCUGGUUGGAGCUCAGUAACUGGAUUUUUCGAAACAAGAUGAGCUACCAUAAUGCUGUUUUUCUUAGAGCCAAAUGCCUUGCAAUGAAUGGGCAAAUGUUUUUAAGGUUGAUUUAUAUUUAAGGGGUGGUUGUAAGGGGCUCUUUGAGUGCUGUGUUUUCUCCUAACGGGGAAUGGAUGACACCUUGUCGUACUUAUGUUUUGUUUAACAAAAUUCUGUUAUCCUUCACACACACACACACACAAACUGCAAAGAGUGAUUCAUUUUAUUGGCUUUGGAACAAAAGUCAUCAUGGCUUCUCAAUGUUAGUGUACCUGCAAGAGCUUGUAUUGGUUUUCAAGUGGACCCUGGACAGCAUUAUUAGAGAGGCUUAGAUGAUUUAAAUAUAGGAGAUAUCGCAUAUGCUUAUGUUUCAUGCUGGGAUGACAAGUAAAUUAAAAUAUUGGAACCUUGAUUCUAGGUCUAGGAGUGAGUGAAUUGAAUCAUUUGUCCCUGUGCAAGUUUUUAGAGUCAUGGGUGCAUGGUCUGUUGUUUUUUUGUGUCACAUGCCCAAAUAUAUGAUUUCUGAAACCAAAGAACACUUGUUAGCUGUCUGAUUAA